rnacentral:lncRNA from 1 species
UAAAGUAACUCCUAUAUACCAUCAGUGAUGUAAUUUGCAGAAAUUCUCUCACGAACAUUCCUGGCCCCUCUCCGCUGCAUGCCGGACAUCCACCUGUAACCCUCAGAAGUUUGGUUGUUGUCUUUCUGUGACAAAAAGAGAUGGUGAAACUAUGAACUAUCAAGCUAAGUGAAAAUUUUAUAAUCUAAGUUGAUGGAAAUGCUUACUGCUUUCUUUGUGUCUCGUUUCCUUUUGACCUCAUGGAAAGUAUCUGCAGAAUAAGGUAGUUUUUGCUUGAGCUAAAAGAAAAACAAUAAUGUAAUAGGCUAUUCAUCUCGUUUCCUUUUGACCCCAUGGAAAGUAUCUGCAGAAAGAGAUGGGUUUCAGAAUUUCCUACUUGAUUAGCAUGGUAACUCUACCUAAAGCACAAUACACUUUAGUACAUAGAACUGGAGAAGACAAUUGGAAAUGAUAUAACGCUGGAGUAUAUAAUAAGC